CUUUCCGCUAUAUAGAUGAUGUUCUUUCACUAAACAAUUCAAAAUUUGGUGACUAUGUGGAACGCAUCUAUCCAAUCGAACUAGAGAUAAAGGAUACUACAGAUACAGUUAAGUCGGCUUCAUAUCUUGACUUACAUCUAGAAAUUGACAAUGAAGGUCGGUUGAAAACAAAACUUUACGACAAAAGAGAUGAUUUCAGCUUUCCAAUUGUGAACUUUCCAUUUCUAAGUAGCAACAUUCCAGCAGCACCUGCAUACGGGUAUAUAUCUCCAAUUGAU
rnacentral:lncRNA from 1 species